UUUUUUUUUUUUUUUUUUUGUCAAAAAUAUUUAAAAGUUGCUUUCUAAAUUCACCCACAACAGGCUACAGCAUAAGAAAAUGGAAUUUCCAUUGAUAACUUCAGUGUCAACACAAGCACUCUCACUGUAGAGCUCUACCUCUACACAUUGCCGGAGAUGAACAAACAGGAAAAUAACUACUCCAAAGGAAAAAGAAGAACUCAUCACUUUGAUCGAUUUUUAAUUUUAAUUCGAAAUUUUGGAGCAGAACUACCUUCUGAUGCCUCCACCUUCGUCGUCACUAUUUUCGAUACACUGGAUUCGCUCGCUUUAUAUUGUACAGUUGCCAACUUAAUUCCAGAUUCAACUUUCUUAACCCCAAGCUCGACUGAUGAUGCCUUUGCAUCACCACUCAGCAGCUCUGUCAUCUCCUUUUCCUUCUGCUUCGCCUCACCGCUCAGCAGCUCUGACAUCUCCUUUUCCUUCUGCUUUGCCUCACCACUCAGUAGUUGAGCCAUCUCUUUUUCCUUCUGUUUCUUCUCCUUUUUCAACCGCUUCCGUUCCAGAUACUCUGGAUCUUCCCGCUUCCUUUUUUUCUCUUUCUCCUUCUUCUCUUUUGCUUUCCCAUGCGACUGAGGUUUUACUGCUGCCACCGUACCACCUUCAACUUCAUGUCUCAUGACUGAGAGGGUUUGAAGACUCGCAUAUUUUUGUGCAUCGACAUCUACAAUGUUGUCUUGGAUGCUGCCUCCUUGGAUGUCUUGGAUGCCACUGAACAAUGGACCCUCGUCUGACGGGGGGAGCACCGAGAUUUUGCCUGAAUCAGCAGUGCACUGGAGCUCCUUUCCCACUUCAUCACCAUCACUUGCUAGUUUGGCACUGCCAAUGCUAGCAGUCAUCUGAGAGCCACGAUCAUGACAUGAGUUGACUUCCUCAAGAUUUUGAUUGCUGAUGCUUACAGCUUCAGUGAAAUUCCUUUGUGGUGCAUCGACAGAUAUGGAACUGCUGCCACCACGAUCUAUUUCAUUAUGGCCACCUUGAGAUUUAUCAACAGUUGGAUUAUCAGCCUCCUCUGCUCUACUGGAUGCAGCAGAUUGUCUAACCCUGAUCUUGACUACUGGCAUUUUCCGUUCAUGGCUGUUGGAAACAGUAUCAGCUUCCCUAGAAGCUUCUGGAAGGGCCAAACCAUCAUGAGAGACAUUUGGGGUGUCCACGGGAGGCUCCAGGGACUUAGUCUCCUUAACGAUAGUGAUAAAACCAUUCUUCUGUUCACUACAGAUCUCUGCAGGGUCCAUUUGCGGGAUUUGAUCUCUUGGAACUCCAUAAAGUGUUGGGAGCCUGAAAAUGAUAUUUCAUCAGUUAAGAAAUCAUUGGAACAAGAUUUGUUCUUUGCACAAAAAACACACUAAAUCCCUUGUCGGUUGCAGUAGAGGAGAAAAGAAAAACAGGGAUAUUACAGCCAUUCCAACCCCAAAUAGUUGCUAGAAUUCAAAUUUUCAUUUCUAUUCCUAUUGACCAACCAGAGUGUAACCAGAAAUUUUGAGUCUAACACCAACAAUCCUCCAAUAUAUAAGCAACGCAUGUUAAGAACCUGUAUUUUCAUACUAUAUAUGGAAGGAGAGUGAGUGACUUUUUUCUUUCUUGGAUAAGGAAAAAGGGAUAUUGAAUAUACUGAAAACACUCUUCAAAAACAAGACUGAAUAACCAUUGAUACAGAAGCAUCAGCAUGCAAAACUUUCAGGAACAUUGAUACAGAUAACGGAAAGUUGGUUCUAUAUAAUGCACUAUUUCUGUCCAGUACAGUCCAUGGACAUGAAAAUGGAGGAAUGCCAAAUUUCAAGUUAGUCACAAAAUAAACAUCAUAACAAAUCUAAAGGGGGUUUAAGAUGCAAAAAUGACAAGUAAAUUCACACUAAGAAUUUCAGCUUGCUGUGAGUUGGAGGUGCUAAGUGAAGCAGAACAGCAAAAAGGAUCUAAGCUAUACUGACUCCAAGCAGUUGGUACUCAGGAGAGUUCUUGAUAGGCAAACAUAACAGUAUAAAGGGUGAGAAUAAUUAAGAGUUUCACAACUAACCAUCUCCUCAAGAACUACCACUCAAUUCUGUUAUAAUUUUAAAUAAAAUAUUACCUAAGUGAGUCUAAUGAACUAGAUUUGUACAAGCACCGGCAGCUGAUGAUUCUCUUUUUUUCAAUUGGCACCAAAAAUAUUUUUUUUGAUAAAUAAAUAAUUAAAUUAAAUUAAAGAAAAGAGGCAUUAGAAAACAACCCCAAGUAUACAAGAUAACAAACCUCCCUUCACCACCAAGGCUCAACCACAAGAAAACAGAGAAUUUUAACAGAUUCAACCAGUACCCAACCAUUCAAAAAAUUCAACUAAAGUCAAUGGGCACUCAUUGACAAACAACUUAGCCUCAGACCACAGAAAACAAACAAACUCCCUUUUCAGCUUUUGAAUAGAAAAAAUCUCAUUACAGAAAGCAAUAUUGUUCCUGGUCUUCCACACCAUCCAAAACAAACACAAAGGGAUUGCUUGCCAAACCUCCCUUCACUUCUUACCUAUAAAAGAACCAUUCCAACCCAACAAAGUAUCUUUGACUGAUGAAGAAAGCACCCAAGACACCCUAAAAAGAACAAAAAUUAACUCUCAUAAAACCCAUGUCAUUUCACAAUGGAGCAACAAAUGAUCAAUAGAUUCUUCAUGUCGAAGACACAAAAAACAUCGAUUUGUUAAAGACCAACCUCAUCUUUGCAGUUGAUCCAAGAUUAAAACUUUACCCCACACUGCCUCCCAUGCAAAAAAAACUAACUUUUGGCUAGACCCACUAAAUCCGAUUAAAAAAAUAAAAUAAAAUAAAAAAUGGAAAAGCUCCACCGAAGUUUGGUUCCAAAACAUAAUAAAGGAACUUAACUGUAAACUUGCCACUUUUUGUCAAUGACCAUAACAAAAAAUCUUCCACAUUCUAACAAACUCAUUGCCCCUGCAAACAAGCCAGAAAGCUCGCCACACAAUUCACCUCCCAAUCAUUAAAAGAUCUAGAGAAACAAAGAUUUCAGCCCUUACCCCCCUUUCAGCGGAAGAAUUCCAAAUAUCCGUCACCCAUGCAUCCUUAGAGAUCGACAAACCAAAAAGUUAAGGAAACAACACACAAAAAGUUAUCCCUGCACCACCUAUCCUUCCAAAAAAGUUCCCUCUACCCAUUACCCACCACAAAGAGACACCUAGAUCACACUAAAUCUCAAUCCUUCCUUAUUACUUUCCACAACCCCAUACCCCUCAUUGACCUCUUGAGUUGCCCACCCCCCGCUUACUUCCUCAUACUUACCACGAAUAACCUAGUUCCAAAAGGCCCCUCUCUCAACCGCAAAACACCACCUCCACUUGCAAAGAAGUGCCUUAUUCACCCUCUAACAGACCACAACAAACACCAGCUUCCAUGGAGGUCGCAACAGAUCUGUUACAAGACCCAGCAGCAACAACCAUCUCCCUACCCCAAGUUUCUGCACCAGAACAUGAUAAAUCCUCCACCAUUUUCUGCGACUCCAGCGAAGACAGUGAAACACGGCCAUUGGCGCGUGAUCUUUCACCACCGCCACCCCUAACCUCCACAGCCUCACCGCCAUUGCCUUUGGAAGACGGCACCACCUCAGACACCCAUGGCAGCACCUCCCACCACAACUGGAGUGCAAAACAAGAAUCACCAACAACCAACUGCAAAGAGCCAGGCAGUCCCUACCAACUGAUUUCACCAAAACCCUUGCCCACUGCAACUGUGUAAAGCCAGUAGUAGCCUCAUUCACAGAGAUGAAGCCUCCACAUCAAUCUCCAAUUUUCCGAAGCACCUCCCUGCUCCAAAAAUGAAGAGGAAGACCCACCACCCUUACCCAUACCACCUUCGGACACCCUCCAAACCGAAAACAGCCCACGUCAGGUCUCUCAAUGUUCCCAAAAAUAAAAACUUUCCUCUGAAACAUCAAACACCUCUGUGCAACACCUGGUCCGCUUCUAACUUGUUCUCAAACUCGAACAGAAGAAAGGCUCCACCUAACUUCGCAAUCUGGAGCCCACCCCGCAAAUACCACGACUCAAUACCCCAAGUCCUCAAUGCAUCCAAAUCAGGGAAUGAACCAUCACCCUUGCCCCAACGACCAACCAAACACUGCUCCAGCUGCUCCUCUCGAUGCCUCAAAUCCUGCCCUCCAAGCUGGACCCAAAUUGAAUCCCCUAACUUACCACUCUUCUCCUUAACAAUAUCAGCAAAAGACCUCGAAAUAACGAGGAGGCUCUUUGCCACAAAGGAAAGGGUGCCAGUUGCUAUGGAAUCUCCUGCUAGCCUUGUCAAAGAUUUUUUGUUCAAUCAAACUAUGUUGGAAAGAAGGGCAUAAGAUGUACUAGUUGAAUCAGCCCUCUGACUGUUCUCCUAACCGGUGUCAAAGUAAGCUCCUUUUUCCUACCCGCUUACUGCUCGAGUAGGAGUUCAUUGCAACUUCUCAGCCAAAAUGACCCACCCCCCUGCAAACCCUUUACCCUCAGGGAAAACCAGACAAAUCUUCUUCCCCACAUGAUUGAGAACAUAACACAAAAGGAACCUACCCACCUCAUUAGAAUGCUGGUCCAGCCGAAACUUCCUGCCCCCUUCCUCCCAACUUUUACCAAAACUCUGCAAACCAGCGUCCCAACAACAAGCCUCCACUCCUUCCAAUAGACAACGAAGACUGAAGCCCCACAACCGAAUAUAUAUAUAGCUGAUGAAUUUUUUGAUUGGAAAAAGUGAUUAUAUUAAUAAAGCACCUUGAAAAGAGGGUAGCCAAGCACAUCCGAAGUAUUUAGAAGGCACCAGAAGGAAAGGACCAACAGCUGAUGAUAGAACCUUAAUUUACUAAACCUAGCUUUUUCUUUCGUUCCUUUUUUUUUUUUUCCUUUUUUCUGGUACUCUCAUUCUAAAUUAUUUUUGAGAAGUGGUAUGCCAUGUUUGCAUAGCACCAGCAAUGUCAGUCGGACGUCAAACUUAUAGCAAAACUUGUGAAUAUAUAUUGGGGGCAUGCCUAGCUGUGACUGCACAUUACCAAACAAAUCUAAAUCAUGCCCAUGUUGAAGGCAACCAAAGCUCCCUUUAGAUGCGUUACUCUUAGAUUGGCAUUUACCAAGAGGCAUUUCCAAUGAGCAUCAAUUUUAUAUGCAUGUUCGUGGACUUAGAUUCAGAUGUCUCUGCAGAUAUCAAGUUGAGCUUGUUAAUGCUGGAUUGGAAUUAUAUUCGUAAAUGUUAAGCAGUGAGAUUUGUCCUAAGUGGUUUCCACCUCCUAUAGUCUCUAUAAAGUUCAAUUUUGAUGGAUGUUCCUUAGGUAAUCCAAGACAACUUGUGAUUGGAGAAAAGUUUUUAAAGAUACAGGCAGGAGAGGAUAUGGCUAUUGAGGAAAAAAAUUCUUGUUCUUCUAGAACAUCAAAGCUUUGAGAUUUUCAGAUUUAUUAGUGAAGGGUGACCCCGCUAUUCUCAUUUCGUGUGUAUCCAAGAGGUAAAGAGGUCUAAUAAAGUAUGAUGAGUGGGUCCAGAAAAUUAUUUGAUCUUGUGACUGACUUAAAAUCUUCUUCAUUCUAUUCUCCACAUUCCAAAUCAAGAAACAGGUCAUUUAGUCAAGCAAUGGGCUAGACAUUUGAUAUCCUUUCAAGAGACCCUUUACUCCCUUGAGAUGUGUAGUUCUCUUUGAUUGUACAUUAUUUUUGUUUCCUUUAUAAAAUUUAUGACUUUUUUUUUUGGGAGGAAUAGGCAUACUUUUCUUUUUUUAUCAGGUGUUUUUUUUUUUUGUAAAUCUUGGAAGGAUCUCUCAUCAUUCAUUAUAUUUAUGAAGUUCAAUGUAAUGACGUAUCUUAUUUCUAACUGCCCACCCGGCCACCCACAAAACCCCAACCCCAACCCCAACCCAUUUAAAGAAAAGGUACAUUCAUUUAAGGUUUGAAUAUCCUCAUGUUCUUAUAUAUAUAUAUACCAACAGAAACUCUAUAAACAUAAAAUCAUCUUGCCAAACUUUAUGUUGCAUGGUAAAAUAUAAAGCAAUUGUUUUCUACAAAACAAUUUUUUUUUCUUUUUUUAAUUAUUAUUAUUAUUAUUAUUUUGUGCCAUGAAAAGCUCAUGCCAAAGUGAUUUAGAUGCUUCUGUGGCAUUUCAAGUUCACAUGGGCAAUAAAUUCCAUUAAAUCAUAGCAAACCAAACAGCUCUACCAAAUAACUCUUCCCUUCUUAAAUAUUUGAAACCUAAAAGUUUUGUCACUUGUAAGAUUAACUAGACUGUGGAUGGGUUAGUUUUCUUUCACCAUUGCCAAGCUCAAAAAAUAUAUUUUCCCAUAGUUUUCAAGGUACCCAUAGAUAUCAUACCCCUUUAAUUUCUAUUGAGGUUCAGUAAAGACCAAAUUUGCUGAAGUUUAGUUUUGAGAUAGAAACAUAUAAAGACUAUCUGUAAUUAGAUUCAGAAAUCUUCUGGUGAAUCCACUACAGAUUAUUUUUAUUUUUUAAGAAAAACCAUACCAGAAUUAUAAAAACCAUUAUGAGUUAUAUACUAAAGUACUAUAAAAAAAUAUGAAUUAUAUACUAGAACGUAGUGAGGCACUUUUGCAUAUAGAAGUAAUGGGUUAUAUACUAGUCCUAUAUGAGACACCUUUGACGUAUAAUUUCCUUUGGUGUAUAGGUAUAAGUGAGUUCCAAAGCAAAUAACAAACAAGUCUUCAUAAAAAGGUGUACAUAUAAACACAUGAUGAAGGAAUGUUCAUGAAAAAACAUGCUCAUUGAAUAGCAUAAACUAUCACCACAUUAACUGAAAAUCGGCCAUUGUAUAUUGAGAGAAGCUCAAGCAAGCAGAUGUACCAUCACCACAUUGAUUACCUAAACAAAAUAGAGCUAUUAUUUAUCGGCUAAUCUUUAUUUUUCUCUUAAUAGAAAACAUAAAUUGUGCGCACCUUCCAGCAAGGAUUCGUAAAAUGCAGAACAAGUGGUGCCGAAGGAAGACAUUGUUGAAUGCUAUACGGCUUUCAAGUAGACGAAGCAAUGCCACAAGAGUUGAACUCUUUAUGUCAUUGUCAGAUUCAGAUCCACCUUUUAUCUGACAUAACCGCAUGGCAUGCACUCCAAGCUUUACUUGUCCUGCAAGGAUUGUCAAAUUGGUGUCAUACACAUGCAUAUUGUGUGAUAAAGACAGCAUGAAAAAUAAAAGCCCUAAAAAAGAAGGUUCUUCCCCUAAAAGAGAAGGCUCCUCCCCUAAAAAGUAAGUUAAAAACCUCUUAUGGAUGGUUCUUCCUCUACAUAUUUAAUGAAUAAGGAUAAUGCUGCAUCAAUGCCCUUGAAAUGGAAUUCUAGACCUAGGAGUGCUCUGCUUGCUUCAAUUCGGACUUGCCAUAUUGCCUGGAAGUCCCGAAAUGGUUUAACAAGUUCAAUGACACGAUCCUGCCGCAAGUACCAAACACAACUUAAGAAUGACAAUAAGCCCAAGAACAGUCCAUUAUUGGACAAGAAAUAAUUGCAAAAACAUUGGAAAAUAAAUUUUAGAAAAGGGAUAUGAAAGACCACAAACACACUUACAAGAGGGAUAAAUCCAGAAAGCUUCAACCCAAUCUGUGUCAAGGUUCGGAUGCAGCUGAUUGUCAAUAUCCCAUUGUAACUUGGCAUCAGCCUGACACAUGCCAUUUCCAGGUACAUGCAAUCAAUUACAAGUAUUGUUUAAUAAAAUUCAUCAUAACCAGUUCUUAACAAGUGAAUGCACCUGUCAAAUUGCAAAAGCCGAUCGAUGCGCUUGAGAAGAGAUGAUAAAAAGAGAAUACUCUGCCACAGGAUUAAAGGAACAAAAAAGGUAAGCCUCAAAAAUAAGAUAUAAGAAGAUGCAAAAAGAUAUACCUUGUGUGUACAUAUCAACUUUCAUACGGUUAAAGAACAGAAAAAUAUAGAUACCAUGAAGUUUGAACAUACUUGGUUAUUUUGAAGGCACAACCUUUGGUGUUUAACUAAAACAAACUCCUUGAGUAAACCUAAGACUAGACAAAAACCAAAAUUCUAAACCUUUCCAACAAUACUUAACUCAAAUUUCAGAAAAUGGCAACAUUUCCUCUUUGACUUAUUCUAAAACUGAAACCCAAGCUUAAAUUCUUGAUCUAAUAUAAUAUUAAGAUGGGUCCUAAUGUACAAAUGUGAAUUAUUUAUUUAAAAAAGAAGAAGAGGAAGAAGAAGAAGAAGAAGAAACAUCUUGAUCAAACAGCAGUUCAAUUCAAUGCUUUUAUCAGACUGUUCCAAUAUCUUAUUUUGAGCAGGAUUAGAUCCAGCAAGGCAGUCUACAGCAGAAAAUUCUGCACACCACCACCAUCUAUUGUAAUUUUUUCCUGAUAGUAGAUCACAUGCAUGAGACCCAGCAGGUCAUGAUAAAGGAAUCGUUAUAGUGAUAUGUAAACCCCAGUCAACAAUUGCAUGUUGCUUAGGAAUUGCACUCUAAAAUAGUAUAUAUAUUGUAUAGUCAUAAAAAAGACCUGCAUGAGAACCUACCAAACAUCAUGUGAUGCUCAAAUGUAUUUUGAUUUAACUCUAGUUGGUUCCCUCACCAUUUUUAUACAUCACCAUAUGUGCUCCAUGCCCCCUUAGUCAUAUCCAGGUACCAAUGAUGAGUGGAUUGAUAAGAGUUCAAGAUAUCAGGGAAUCAAAGGCAAGAAAGAGGAACCAUUAAAAGUUACAAUAAAAUAAUAAAAAAUAAAAAAUCAAGGGUUGAAUCUCUUGAGUUGGCUGAGCUUAUACUAAUGAUGUUAUGAUAACAAGUGAUCUUGAGAGUUAGCUGAGCUUAUACUAAUGCUGUUAUGAUAACAACUGAUUUUGACUGUUAAUCCAUCAGUCUAUAAAAGAAUUUUCUUUUUCUUUUUUUUGAUAGGUAAAUUUUUGUCCCCAUUGAGAUGUGAACCUAGAACCUCCCACAAACCCUUCCCAUCUUUUUCCCACUUGAGCUAGGCCUCAAGGGCGGUCUAUAAAAGAAUUUUAACACAAACCUGGUCAAAAUCAGUGGGUACUAUCUGGUUUCCCCAAAAUCCUAGUGAAGUUCAGCUUUCUUCAAAUCCUCCUGUUAGGUGGUGGCACACACAACAUGGAAAAUGCUCACUAUCUCAUCCUUUGCUUCUCAAUACGUUCCUAUUCCAUAUGUUACAUGUUCCAUUCCUUUUUUUUUCUUUUUCUUUUUUUCUGGUUCAAUAGCCACAACAUGGAAAGGAAGCUCCCCAAUACAGGUCACAAUUCAAACCUACAUCUUAUACAGUUGAACCUGAAGUGUCAGAAUGAUAACAGCUCAGCAGGAACCCUGUGGAGAUCCAAAUUUUAAUUGUAUGUCCUAAUAUUAACUCCAAUUGGAUAUAAAUAAUCAUCAAACAUAAAAACCUAAAGUGUCAGAAUGAUAACAGCUAAGCAGGAACCCUGUUUGGCUAAUUUUGUUCAAAGACCUUAUGGUUCAAAAUAGAGUUUAAUAUGAAAGUUGGGAAAAUGUUGUUUCUUGCAGAAGUUUUAUUUUAACUUAUGUAAGAAGUUCUUUCAUGUUUAACAAAACUUUUACAACACCAAUAUGACCCUUUAAAAUUCGUGGCUUUGACUUCAGCUUUCAACUAAAGCAAGAAAUAGGAAACUAUUCCAAAUGGGCUCUAUAUAUUAAAAAUGAAACAAUUAUUUUAGUUGUUUCAUGAAUUUUGAAAAAUAUAAUUCAAACACACUUUCAGAAACAAGGUCACUCUAUUAGGAGAUACAGCAUGGUGACACAGGACAACUAGUCCCAAAGAAAAUAGCCAAGUCAACUAGUUUUAAAAUAAUAUUUAAAUUACCUAGGAAACUUGAGACUUGUAGUACUUGGUUACUUGUGGUAGAUAGAGUUUUCAUUUCCUAAGAGUUGGAAGUUGUGAAGACAUUGAAGGGUUAUUGGGAUAAAUAGGAGGGAAAAUGAUGGAAAAAAGGGUCUUUUUUCUUUUGUUCUGAAUUUUCAGUCAAUGGAAAUCUCUUCUUGAGAGUUUCUCUGGUGGAUUCCAGACUUCCUUGCGUUAGACGUGUUCUAUCCUCCUUUCUUUCUUGCUUUUUGCUGCGUCACAUGGCCAAAGAAAUAUCCUAUAACGAAAAUAUUGAUGAUAUGUUAAUUGUAAUGGAUCACAUGAGUGUGGAUGAGGUGCUUGUCUACGCUCAGAAUGAGAAUAGCAACUAUAAAUCCAAAUUAUUCUUCAUUCCCUUCUUGAACUUCAUUGACAAUGAACAUGAAAAAGGUUAAGGAGUAUCUUUGUAUUACUGCCAAUAGAAAUCCAAAUGAUUGUCCAUGCUUAGAUGGCAUCUUUGUAAAAUCUCCAACAGUAUACCAAAGGUGUCUUUAGAGUAUGCCAAGCUAUCCUUCUUCUGACAGCCUUACCAUUAUGGCCUUGUAUAACAGGGUGCACUUAUGCAACCCAAACACGACAGCCUUUUUUGACAGGCAUAUAAAAAGGUACACUAAUAAAGCACCUAAUAAAAAUAGGCACAACCCAAACAUGACAGCCAUAGUACAUAAAACAUUCAGCCAAUAGAAUUUAAAACAGGUGGCAGCACAACAGGGAAACAAAUGAGCAAGUAAUAAUUGAGAGAAAUCAUCACCCAAUAAGCAAGACAUUGGAGCAUGUAGUCAUAAAAAUCCAUGAGACAGAUAAUAUUUUCAUACCUGUUGCCCAAAUUCAAGUUCCCCAACUGACUGCACUAGUGCAGCAAGCCAGAAUACAUCAGAGUAAGGAUUCCCAUUAUUAUCGUUAUACUGUGGGGCAAUUACAAAAAAGCAGAAAUGAAAACCAAAAAGAAAAAAAAAUUCACGUGAGCCACUGAUAAUGAGAACAUAAAUGGAUAGGAACAAAAGAAAAUAAAUAAAUAAAUGAAUGGUGGCAGAAAAUAAAAAUAAACACCCAUUCACAUGCCAAAAGCAAGAGAGUUACACUUCUUUUUUUUUUUUUUUGAUUGGAUAAGCAAGAGAGUUACACUAGAAAUGCAUAGUUAGUUAUUAACAGGAGGUUGACAUCCUCAAGUGCUCAUAUGGAUGUCCAAAAUAACAAAAAAUCCAACUAGUAUAUUUCAUGGUAACAUGGACCUUAGAAACAAAUAUAUAGUAAUUGGUACCAUGUGAAAUAGAUGGAAAACAGCAGAUUCUCUUGAGUUUUCAGUGCAGAAUACCAUUUUUUAUGAGGAAUAGCACCAGGAAUCUCCCCAUUUGCAGUCCAAUACCUUGCCACCCAAGCUAGGCCACUCUAGGUGUUGUGUUUGCCCAAUCACAAAAACCCAGAGCACAGGAACACAGCAGAAUAAGAAGCAUUUCCGAAUUUCUUCCUUUAUACUUACAACAGGAGAGUUUUCAGUUUUUGGAUGUGGAGCAUCAGAUCAUUAGUCUUUUGUACUUUGUAUUCUUCAAUUUAAAAUAUUCAUGAUAGGAAUUUUAACAUCAUGAUCACACAUGUAACAAAUCAAGAACAAUAUGUAACAAGGUUGCUGUGUAAAGAGGAAGCGGAGGAGGAGGAAAGGAGGAAAAGGGAAGGAGGGGGAGUGGAGUUGUGGUUUGGUUCAGGUCAGGAUUUUAGAAGGGGAAGGCACCAGUGGGCAAAGAUCUCAGAGCAUAUGCAGUAACAUAGGACAUGAGCAGAGAUUAAUGUCUCGGCAUAAAAUCCUGAAAUCUCCCUUUCAAAGGGGUUUUACUACAGCAUCUUUUAUGCCAAGACAAUUUUUUUUAUAAGAAAAAAGAAAAAAAAUGUCUUGGCAUAAAAGAUGCUGUAGUAAAACCCCUUUGAAAGCGAGAUUUCAGGAUUUUUGUUUAGAAUUUCUGGAAACAAAGAAGCUGAGGUCACAGGAAUGUGCAGAUAUUAAUGACUUGGCAGCAUUUGCAGUGCAGCAAGACCCCUCUGAAAGUGAGAUAUCGAGAUUUGUUUAGAAUUUCCAGAAAUAUAGAAGCUAAGGUAACAUGGGUUGAGGAGAGAGCAGAUAAGAGAAGGUUAAAUAUGACAAAGACAACUUUUAGUCAAAUCAUCACCAAGCAAAUGAUGAAUAAGGAGAAAAUGGUACUCUAUGGCUUCUACAAAAUAGGCAUUCUCCAUCUAGAGAUCUAGGUACCAGAAACAAAGGCUCAUUAGGGACUCCAAGACUAGGAGAAAGAAGAAGCACAUUUGAUGCCAUAUUAGAGUGGAGGUGAAUAUAAAAAGAGAAGACAUGACAAGGUUGAAGAUAACUUGAAAAAAAUUUUAGUUGAAUCUUCAUUAUGGUGAUGUUGAAUAAAGGAGUCUGGGGCUCAAUGGCUCCUAUUGAAGGAAGUGUUCUAUGUCUGGGUGGUGGCCUGGGGAAGGAUUUUGACCACUGAUCAGUUGAACAGUAAAGAUAAUCCUCCAGAACUGGUGGCCCAUGUUCAGAAGGGAUGUGGUAAGUUUCAACCACCUAAUACUGCACCAUCCUUCCUAUAAAAAAAAAAUACUGCACCAUCCUGAGGCUUAGAAGCCAUGUUUGAUGUUUUGUGCUAUUUGAAGAUAUCGUGAAUGGUCCGAGAGGACUUUUCAAGUUGGCAUGUAAGUUCUACAAAAAGAACAGGAGGAAACUGCUGAGAAUAGUUCCCCCCAAUAUCUGGCAUGCUGUUAAUGGAAAGAACAAGAGCAUGUUUGUUACACAGAAUGGUUAUUCCUGACGGAAUAGGAAUAGGAAUAGCUAUUUCUAACAAUAAAUAUGCUGGAAAGGAAUACCUAUUCCUAUUCAUGUGUUUGGUUAUGACACUGGAUUAAACUUAGUCUUGAUACAGUUUUGUUUCUUUUUUCAUUUCUUUGAAAUUUAUCAUCAUUAGGAGAUUUUUAGAAGAAUUCAUUUAAUAGAAGUCUAGUGAAGCACACCCAACAAAACCUGGUUUAUGGUCCAUUAUAAUUUUAUAUAAAUUAAAGAUAUAAAAUUUUAAAAAGAUUAUCACUACCAACGUUAUCAACUUCUUGGUGGGACAAUUUAGUUUGUAACUACUAUCAAACACGUCUUAAUUAAUCAAAUUAAUUUAAUAAAAUAAAGUUAACAUUCGGACUUUAACGGGUCUAUAAAACAUUAUAAAAUUAAAAACUAAAACGCCAGAAUUCUUAGGAAUCCCAAAGCCCAUAAAACUAUGUAUAGAUGGAAUAGCUAUUCCUUGAAAUUAACGAAUAGAUAUUUCUUAAAUUCUAAAAGGGGAUAGUUACUCCUUAAAAUUGAGGAAUAGCUAUGCUCUAAAAUAGAACAGAUACCAAAGAGUGAAAUAACUAAUCCCAUGGAAUAGCUAUUCUACUUCUUGACCUACAUGGCAUAAGUGUUUGAAGGGGUAGAACCUCAGACCGAAAGCUGAAGGAGAUUGUCUUGUAAUUGCUAUAUGUGUGGAUGGUCGUAUCUAGCAUGGACAGGAAAAAUUCCUCUUGGGAUUUUAUUUAGGGUUUGGAGCAUCUUAAGGGUCUGUAGUUCCUUCUAGUUUUUCUUUAUUCAUUUUAGGUUGUUAUGUAGGCAUGUACUUGGGUUGUUGCCAAUUUGGCAAUUUCUUAAUGAAUUUAUUUGCCCGUGACAAAAGGCACAACAAGACUUCUCUUUUAUUUUCAAGAAGUAAAUUAAAAGACUAAAUGCUUUGCCAAAUUUAGAAUUUAUUUUAUUAAAUGGAAAAUAAAGGUGAAAAAUAAAUAAAUAAUCAUGAGUAGAAGAAACAUGAGUUUUGGAAAUUGUUUAGGCUAGUGGAAUCUAAAGUGAAAAUGACUACCUUCAGAAGUUGUAAAACAAACUCAACAGCUUCUCUUGGGCUUUUCUUAUCUGCGGCUCUAACCAUAGCUAUUGCAUGCGGAAUGGCCUGAAAGAAAAACAAUAAAACUAAAAUGGUUUUAAAAAAUGCUAUAAGAAUAAUGAAGUAUUUCUUUUAAACUAAUCGUGAAAGGAAAAAAGAAAAAAAAAAAAGUUGGAAGAAACUUAGAAAUAUAUAAGAGAGCAAGUGCAUACAUUGACAUAGUUAUUAUGCAACUCAAAAAUUACUUUUUUAGCUUAACAUCAGUUUCCUUUGCUUGCUCACACGAAGUAAAAAUCAAUUAUAUUAACAGCCCUCACAAAAAGGUGCACAAAGGCAUAUGCAGUAGAUACAAGGAUGCCAAAAGGCCAAAACAAGAUAAAGGGAUACACAAAAAAUGACACCCUCGCCUUAGUUAAAGCUUAGUCUCACUCAACAAUGUCCAUUAUGAAGAAAGAGUUGUCUCCUAUGUACACUCUAACCAACUCCAAAAAGUUAUAAAAGGAUUGUUUGAUUUCUCGAUCCACUUUUUCAGAAUUAUCAAAGCUCUCUUAUUUUUCUCCCCCCAUAUGGUCCAAAAUAAGCACAAAUAACCUACACUUCAAGAGUUCAUGCUCUUCUUCCCAACAAAAAUCCAUGUCAGGUCAAAAGGGCAUCUCUCAAUGAGGAAUGCAUCACUUGAUCUAUUCCAAAUAAAGCAUAAAUGACUUUCCACAAGAUGACUACUUUUGAGCAUAUGCAGUAAAGGAAUACAGUGAAGGAAGAUGUGAUCAAAUGUUUUUUCUUCUGCUUUCCACAAAUAGUUAUUUAAGUAUUCACUUAUUCCUCCCUAGAAAUCCUUGCAAAUGCAAAGUUAAUUCACCACCCUCACUCCCUCUAUGAGUAUGUGAUGAUUAAAUCAUGGAAUGCAACAUAGUUUUUUUUUUUUUUUUCCUUUUUUAAUAUAGGCAAACAUAGCGCUGGAUAUAGGAAGUAUACAAAAAGCUUCUUGCUAAGAAUAGAGCAAACAAAGAAGUAACAGAAUAGUCCUAGCUGAUAACAUCAAAAAAUUCCAACAAAGAGCAAGACUCCAACCCUGUAGGAGCUUUAGACCACUCUCAAUGGCUCGAUAAAGAACUCUUUCAAUCUCUGAUAUGGUAGAUAAUCAUCUUUAAACAAACUCCCAUUCCUCUCUUUCCACAAGCACCAAAACAAGCAAAUCAGAGCAAAUCUUCACACCUUUUUCCUUCUUUUUCUCUAAGCUUUUCACCUGCCACUUAGAAGGAGAUCUUUAACUUUCCUAGUAAAAGCCCACUGAAACCUAAGGAUCAUGAAUAACAGAUCCCAUACCAACCUAGUUUUCUCACAAUAAAUAAAAAUGUUAUUUGAUGACUCUUCUUGGGUGCAUUAGAGCCCCACAUCUCUUUUUCAAGAAAGGCAUUCACUCUUGCAGUGUACAAAAAAUUGUAACAAGACUUAAUAAAAAAUGUCCCUCCUUGACUCCCCUCAAACCAUCUUGCCCACUACCAUCCCUAGCACUCCCAUGGAAUGAAUGUCAGCCCUUUUCAAGCAAAAAACAUGGGUUUGAGCAACCUCUUGCCUAUAUUUCCUACUAGCAAAGGGGAGGUUGGCCGCAGAUCUUAAGCAGGCCGAUCACAGAUCAAGUUUUUAUCCAAGAGGCUAGGAAGAAUAUGAAUCUUGCAAGAGGUGCCAUCCCUCCAUAAAACAACCCAUCAUCUCCAGCUCUCAAUCUUGAAAUGGCCUACAAAAACAGUGGUUCUAAUGACCUUUAUCGAAUCCACUACCCAUACAUCUGCCACUCUUGCAUUCUUGGCCACUGCAAUACUAUUAAGAGGUAGAAAAGCUUCCUCUAGGGGAGCACUCCCUAUCCAUGUAUCCAAUCAAAACCUUGUUCUAAAUCCACAAUCCAUCAAGAUAGAACCCUUGUUCUUCAACUCCUGCCAUCACCUUCUAAUGGCUUUCCAUAGACCCAGCCCAAAAGCCCCAUUUGCCUCCUGAGCACUCCAACCCCCAUCUAACUCCCCAAACAUGCCCCUAAUGAUCCUCCUCCACAUUUUAUCUAUCUCAUUCGCCAAAUCUCCACAAUAAAUCAGCAACCAAUACCCAAUUUAAAGUAAAGAGCCUUUCAAUUUCCAAAUCUGCAUCCUUUUUACCCAAACACACGGUUAACCACCUCACAAGAUGAAGAGCUUUCUCCCCUCUGCUUGAUUCCCCUGAAAGCAGUUAGACUAAAUCUUCUCCAAUCUGCUUAUGACCGCCCACAGAAUGACCAUCAGUGACAUGGAAAAACGAAAAAAAGAAGGCAAGCUCAAAGGCAUACUUUUAAUGUGUUAAUCUACCUCCCUUGGCAAAUAUUGACUCUUCCAAGAAGCCAACCUCUUCUUAAAAGGCUCCUCCACUAGACCCAUCCUGAGAAGGAUUUAAAGGAAGCGGCCCAAAGGCAGCCCUAGAUAUGUAGAAGGAAAGUUGCCACCUUAGAACCAAGCGACAAAGUUAAUCUUUCCACCCCUUUCACAUACCACCACCCAGAUAAAUUAAUUUUCAAUUCUGACACUAGCUCAAAGCAAGUCAGAACCCACCUAAUAUAUCUCAGCUGCUCUGCACAAGCCUCACAAAAUAGCAUGGCAUCAUCUGUGAAAGAAAAUCAGUCACCUCUUCCCCUACCACUAGCCCUGAAGCCACUAAUAAGCCCCUCUUAAUACUGCCCUCAAAAUGGGUUUAGAAACAUAAAAACCCAAUGGGUUUCCUUUUUAGCUUUGAAACCUGUGUUCCAGACAAAGGAUCCUUCAUGUGCACACCAGCCACAGGAUCAUUCAGUUUUGACCAACACGGAACCUUAACGGCACCUAUAGUGGCAUAACAUGUCCAAAUGGAUGCAAAAAAACAACCAAAAUGAUCCCAAUAUGCAUUGGAUAUCUUUUUGAAUAGGAGAAUGGGUUGUUUAGGUAUGUUUGAAAACUCUUCUUGAAAACAAUUUUUUUAUUUUUUUUUUGAUAGGAAACGACAAAGGAAUAUAUUAAUAGAAAAAAGAAGUACAAGAGAAGGAUGAGGAAUCCUCCCACCAAAGAAAACUAGUCUACAAGAAACCGAAAACAAGAAAAUACACUGUAAUAACGAACAACUUCUCAAGGCUAAACCAACCCAUCGGAAUUACACGCCGCUAACCAAUCAAGUUGUAACACAAUAAGGAGGGUUCCCUUAAAAACCUUGGAACAAAAAGCCCAAAGAGAAGCAAGGAAAAAAAUAGAAUCCCAAAGAUUGGUAAAUUUUCUAACUUAGAAAAAAGCUUGGUAAAUUUUUAACAGAAAACAGUUUUUUGAGAAUUAAUCUUAAAAAUAGAUAGUUUUUUAAAACAAAUCUACAGUCUUUUCAGGUAUAUUUGUGAAGUAUUCUAAGAAACAAUUGAAAUUUUGGAGAAUACUUUGGGAACUUUUAUACUGCAUAUAAAUGCACAGUUCCUCCAUGAAGAAUAAGCUGAGAAAAUUGUUUAUCUUAUUGAAAUUCCCAAACCGAAUUUUGUUUCUGAAAACAAUUGAGAACUACUCUCAAAAAAUAUUUUUUAAAAAAUGUUUUCGAAAAUGUUGCCAAACAGGCCAUUAAUAUCCCUUUCUCAUCCUCAUUCUCAUUCAAAUUUCACAUUAUGAACUCAUUCUAGGCAAAUCAAAUGGAAGAGUUGAUCUUUAGCAAAUAUAAAUACCCAUUUGAUCAAGGUACUACCAAGGAACGUCUAUCAAAGUUUUAACUUUACUGAACCUACUAGAGGAGGAGACCAACCAGUCACAACUUUCUUCCUCAAACUGUUUGAGAAGCAAGCACUUUUCCAAUUCAACAUUAAAAGAAACAAAGAAACAUCUACAAAAAGGUUUGGUGAUUUGAGGCCCAAAGGGAAGAGAAAAAUGUAAAUCAAAUCCCAAAUGGCAUCCACAGAUCUCAUAUGUCCUUGAAAAUCCCUGCAUUCCUCUCUAACCUUUAUAAACCAUAUCAAGGAUAAUACAACCACCUGCGAAAGAAUCUUCCCUCUUGAAAGGCUUCCAAAGACCUUAAACAAUUUACUUAGUGUACUGACAUCCAAAGAGAAGUGAGAAAGCAAAAAUUUUCCCAAACAAUUUUUUUUUGAUAAAUAAAUAAUUAAAUUAAAGAAAAAGAGCUGCCAAAAGAAUGGCCCAAGGUGUACAAGAAAAUAAACCUCCCUUCGCCACCAAGGCUCAACCAAAAGAGUACAAAAAGAACCUCAACAAUCUCAACAAGUACCCAACCAUUCAAAAAAAACCUACUAAAGCUACAAACAACUUAGAUUCAGGCCACAAAAAACAAAUUCCCUUUUCAGCUUUUGAAUAGAAAAAACAUCAUUACAAAAAGCAAUGUUGUUCCUGGCCUUCUACACCAUCCAAAACAAACACAAAUGGCUUGCUUUUCCAAACCUUUUUUCUCUUUUUGCCUACAAAAGAACCAUGCCAAUCCAGCAAAGUAUCUUUAACUGAUGAAGAAAGCACCCAAGACACCCCAAAAAGUACAAAAAUCAGCCCCUAAACAAUUUAAUUGUUGGUUUUCUAAUAUCCUCAAAGACCCUGCAUUUCUUUUUUACCAAAUACCACAUAAGGCUUCCAAAAUAACCCUCCCCACAAAGCCCUCCUUCUGGGGCUUCUACCAAACCCCUGAAAAGAAAUGACCAUGUUUGGAGCCUGUAUUAGGUACUAAACUAUUCUCACAAAGGAUGCCCAAGAGUUUCUAAAUUAAUUAGUAGCUAAUUAUAGGAGUCCAAUCAUGUAGGUAAUAACAGUGCAAUUGGAUUAAGAUUGGGCAAGAGGCACCUAAGCAUAUUCUAACUGCAGAAAAUUCAAGCAGGGCAGGACCACAUGGAGUCAACCCUAAUACAUCUGUGAUCAUGUUCAUCUCAGGCUUGCCUGAGAACAACUUGGGCAAUAACCCAUUUAUUUUGGGCUUUGCAGGUCUUCGCCAGAUAUUGUCUACACUAUGUGCAACCUGCAUUCAGAAGCAUCUACAGUUUAAACUACCAGUAACCCAAAUAAUGUCUUUGUAACCAAAAAUAAAACAAAACAAAGAAUUUAAACUCAAUCUAAAACAUUACAGGAAAAAUUGAACAUAGAAACUAGAUCAAUUCUGACUUAUUACAUAUCCUACCUCAUUGCAUUACCUCAAGAACAAAAUACUCAGGAAAGUCAUGAAAGUCAUUUGGCCUGGCAAGGAAAGAACAGCAUAUAACUGAAUCUUGUAAAUACUACUUUACAAUAAACUCACAGAAUUCAAAUUAUUAGAAGCUGGGAAACUCACUUGGGGAGUCCAAUGUUUGCAUCGAAUCUCCGACUUUUAUAAAAUUUAACCAGAUGUAGUAAACCAGCCCAAUCAGUUUCCUGCCAAACAAUGCCAUCACGACCCACACAUCAAGAUCGAGGACUAGUACAAAUCCCAGAAGUAAACAACAGAUAAAGCAUUUUGAACCAAGCAACCAUACAAAGUAAACGAAACUGAAGAUGUUUUUGUAUUUAUUUUUUCCUCCUUUUUGGUGGAAGGUAGCAUGACAAUGCAUUAAUUAUCAUUUUGAAUUUCAUAAAAGAGAUGAACAAACAAAUAUUAUGGAUCAAAAUACGUACAGAUGUGUGUGUGUGUGUGUGAGAGAGAGAGAGAGAGAGCACCCUAACAUCUACAAAUUACUCUUCCAUGUUCCAGUCAAUGAGUUCAUUAGCGCAUAAGGAAAAUACUGUAAGUUCAAAAAGUAAAAUGUGUGAUCAACUUAAUGAAAAGGUGAGCGAUUAUAAUACCUCGGAUGCUGUAUUAGCCAAUGCAAAUGCUGCCUCAAUUCGGACUCUCCAAAAGGCCUUGAAAACAUAGAAGAAAUUUUAAAAUUGCAUUUCACUAAACACCAAUGCAUGGAAAGAAAUUGAACCUCUGAAAGUAUUAAAACCUUCGAAUCGCUGAGGAAAUUAUUCAGAGCAUUAACAACAGAAAAUGAAAGCUGAGGUAAUGCCUCCAGUGUUGCAAUUGCUUGUGCCUGAGCAACAACAUCCUUGUCCCUCUCUAAUUGAUUAAUCUGAUUAAGAAUUCCAAUUUUAUCAACAUCAUUAACAAAACUUUCAAAUUUGAUAGAAUGAAGUGAUUUAUAUAAAACAAUAGAUUCAACAGAAUCCAAUAUAAUGGCACAGUAUGAAUUAAAAAAACAUAUAAAAGGAAUUGGUGCAAAUCCUACAUUUUAGCAAGCAUCAUAUAUUAUUGCGAGUGCAACAAUCAAAUAUACCCUGAAUCCCUAAACAUUAUAAUACAUCAAUCCAUGUUAAAGGUACCUGAAGCAUCUAUGGUAUAUGCCAGAAUAUAGAAAUAGAACUGGUUAAUAUUAAUAAAAUAUAAAACUGGUUAAUAUUAAUAAAAUAUAAAAUAAAGAAUCCAAAGGACUUCCAUUUUUAACUGUCUAUUUUUGCCAUGCUUCAUUUAUAAAUAUAAUAAAACACAUCUCAAAGUUUCAGAGCUUUAAGAAACCUUUUAUCUCUUUUGUAUUAUUUGCUCAAGUUUGAAAAAAGAAUACACCUAUUUAAAUUUUAAAAUUCGAAUGAGACAAGUAGUUAAUGAAAUCUGCUAUAGUCAAUCUAAUUUUAAUCAGUAGAGGCUGGGCCAAGGCUCAUCCAAUGGCAGAACACAAAAGUAGUUAAUGAACUCUGCUAUAGGUAAUCUAAUUUUAACCUGUAAAGGCUGGGCCAAGGCUCAUCCAAUGGCCGAACACAAAAGUAGUUAAUGAAAUCUGCUAUAGGUAAUCUAAUUUUAAUCUGUACAGGGUGGGUCAAGGCUCAUCCAAUGGCAGAACACAACUUACCUCAGACAGCUAGGAGAUGAAAGAUGACUACCAGUAGAACAAGCAGGUUUUUGUUCUAACAUCCUCUGAGACAAAAAUCUUUCCUAACAAACACAUUCUCAAUUUUGUGUAUGAUAUUACAUAUUUUAUUUAUAUUGAUUGAAUAGAUGAUUGAACAGAACCCAUAUCUUUUUCUACUUUUUUCAUUAUUUAUUUCUGAAUCCACACUUUCUUAUCUAUGUACAUUAUCUCUAUGGGCCAAUCAACUUAAUCCAACUCAAUUUUUUUUUUCCCUCUUUUUUAUUUAUAUUUUUAUAAUUCAUUAAUGAACUAAUUGAAUUUUUUUAUUUUCUGCCAUAGUAUUUUUUUAAUCAAAAUUCACAUUCAUAUUGACAGCAAAUACAUUUUUUAUAGGUAAAGAUCAUUACAUAAAAGAAAUGCCAAAGAAGGCAGCCCAACCCCAAGUACACCAGAAGUAUAAUUUCAUUGUAGAUAAAAGGAUCUAUUUAUCUUUGUUGCAUAGGUUUGCAUUUUUUACUUCACCUUCAGAUGAUGGUUUUCUUGCAAUUGGAUUUACUAUGCUACAGGCAGUUUCUUUCAUAAGUUCUCAACCCCUUGGUUUCACCAUAAUAGAAUAUGUAAGUGGAGAACAGAAAUUCUUGAUGAAGUUACCAAUAGUAGUGAAUGCAGGGUCAAAAAAAUAUUCAGUGUAGUCCAUACUAUUGAAGUGGAGAGGGAUCAUUAGCAUAUAAACUUUGGUAGGUAUGACAUUUUAGCCCUUGAGGCUUGCCUCUGGCAAGGGGUUGGGAUGGGAUGAGUUAGGUUCUCAACUGCAGUUGGAAAAAUGUACCAUUAAACAUUGCAACCUGCUGCAUAAAGUUAGAACUAAACAAACGUUGUCCAAAUUAUGACUUUUAAGUGCUAGUGCUAUCUGUUAAAAUAGCAAAACCUGACAAUAUCAUCACAAAAAUAAAUACAAAGGAGUAAUAUAUAACACAGAAAAAAAUUAUAAUGAAAUUGAAAAAUGAAUAACAUGCAUUUCCAUGAAACCACAAUAGUUCCCAACUAAAUUCAUUCUUACCCACAUCUGUGCAGGUUGAUUAAAAUGAAUUUCAGCAAGAUACUCCAGUUCAGGGUCUACCCUAAGCCAUAACAAAGGGGAUUCGGUGCUGCAAAAGGAACAUAUUAACACUCAGAAAAAUUGACCGUGUUAUCUUUCAACUAGAAAAUGUGACAAAAGCCCAAAGAGGUAAUGACAUACUUGGAGCGCAUAUCCACAGCAGGUACAUCACCAUUAUCAUCGGAGCCAUCAGGUUUUGACCCCUUUUUAGGCUUCUGGAAGCGUCUAGCAGCAAGUUUUGAAUGGCACUGAAUUUCAAGAAGUUGCCAAGUUUCUCCAGCCAUUGGCAAAAUUGGAUGGUCAUACAUACCAUCAAGCUCAUGAACCCUGAUGCUCAUCAUUCCUGGCCAUCCAAUAUCAACUUCUCGAUUUUCAGAAUCAAUAUUGCCAUUAAGAACCAUUGUAUUUGUAUCUGGUGCGGCAGUGCAUCCCCGUAAUACCGCCAGUUCAACCAAAUUUUUUCGCUUGUUAUAGGAUAAACCCGCCCUUAAAAAUUUAAGGCCCAAAAAGGACAACAUUUGAAUAGACUAUAUCAGCAAAUAUUCCCCCAUGAAGAAAAAGAAAAGACAAUUUCUAGGUCACAUAAAUCAGACCUUAGUACAGGACACCCACAAGAUCCUACCCAGCGAGGAAAAAAUUCUUUAAGAAAUGGGCGCUCAAGAUUUCCAACCUUAUUGGCAAAAUGUCGGAACUGCACAUUUAUAGGAUUAAUUAAGGUAAAUAAGUAAAUAAAAUAAACAUAUUCUUCUAACACAAUAAUAAAAUCAUGAUGUAUUCAAAUUACACCAAAAAAGGAAUCCUAGUGAUCAUGGAAUUCAUAACAAUGAUAUAUUAACAUGAACACAGAUAAUACUAUACCAAAUGAAAUUGUUAGAGCACAAUACAUUAUGAGCCCAAAUCCUAACAACUUAAGCCCUUACGUAAAUUGGUUCUCUAAUAUGGUGUCAAAACUCUUAUUAACUAGAGGUUCUGAAUUCAAGUCCUCCCUUUGUUAUUUAUCUGUCUAACUAUGUGUGAUUACAAAAGGAAAAUAUGAUUUUUCUCAAGCCAAUACCAUCUAUAACUCCCACAACGAGUAUAAGGCUGCACAUGAGGGGGUUGUAAGAACAUAAUAUAUUUCGUGGACCCAAAUCCGAACAGUUUUAAGCUCUUAGGUAAAUUGGUUGUACAACAGAAAUCAUGACUGCCAGGGGUUGGGAUAAGAGCUAGGAAUAUGAGUAAAUGAAGAACAAAGGAGGCUGGACAAUAGCACAGGGUAGGUUCCACAAAUAUAAGCACCUAACAACAAAAAGGGGCACAACCCAUAGACACAUGAUAUAUGCAAGAAUGCAGAGUUUUCUAAUUUGUUUGUUAUAGCCCAUAUAUUAGGAUGCAGCUAACAACGAUUAAAUGAAAUGGACCAAAAGACAGAAUUUUCAACCCUCUUCAUGAUAGUAAACAAAAAGAAAUGACAGGAAGCAGCAAUAAGUACUUGCAUUUCUUUUCUCUCUCUUUUUUAUUUAGGUGCCUUUUUUCUUUUCUUUAUUUUUCCGCUUGUUUGAUGGAAAAAUAAGACUUUACAGAAGGAAAGCUCGAAAAGACGGUUCCUCAAAAUGCAGAAGAAAACAGAAAAGAGAUGUACUUAAAAAUAAGAAAAAUUAAAAAAUUAAAACACACAUACACACAUGCACCUAUUUCCUAAAAAAUGAGCCCAGGAAAAUAAAACAUAAACAAAAGAGGAGGGAAGGAGUUUGUAACAUACUUCUCUAGGGUUAGUGCUUCUCUCUUAGAAAAAGCAUUGGCUUCUGAUGUUGCAACUCCUGGACUACAAUGCACUGAACGCUUUUCACCUUCCAUUAGAAAGCAUCCAUAGAGGUGGAAAGCUGGAAGGAAGCUUCAAAAGUUCCCUGCUGAACCUUAGAGUGCUAUGAUUGGGGUUUGUCCCUAUUAAAGGUGUUGCCACAGAUAAUCAAAGGAGAAAUCCUUUGAAGAGAGCCCAGUUAACCACUCUAAUCAUUGGCGUUCCACAUCCUCACAGGACUAUGACAAAGAACCGGAAAAUCGAGUGUGGAAUUAGAUCUUGGGUAGGGAUACUUCCUAUCCAAGGCCAGGUCUUUCAUUGCCCUCGUACCAUUCUGUGGGUAAUUCUUGAACAGUAUACUAGUAUUCUUAUUCUCUUGACUUGAUAAGCGAAUAAUCAAAUGAAAGAUUCUAGAUCAGGCAGACUGGCCCUGGAAAGAAAGCCUUCACAUUCCAUCAACAAAGAAGAAUAUAGUUCCAAGGUCAACAAAGCAUAGCAUAGAGGCCAACCUUUAUUGAAGCAUAGGUAAUAGAACUUCCUCUCCACCUGAAGAAAUAUCUAAAUCACAUCAUAUUAAGUCGACUGACUCUUGAUUGAUUAACUAUUUAGUAGCUUCGCCUGUGUACCUUCCAUAUCUAACUAAGCCCAAGGAAGGUGGCAUCACUAAUGAUCCCUCAAUACUCCAACCACAGAUAGUUGUAGUUGUCAGACGGAGAAACUUUCAAAUCUAAGUUGCUUAUAUAGAGAACAAUAUGGUAAGGACGUUGAAGGUCUUUGUGGAGAGGAAGACCUUCUUGGUUAGGUUGGAAGGCGAGCAUGGUGGAAAUUGGUGCUUGAUUACAGAGCACAGUAGAGGCUCUGUUUUUGUCUUAGGUUUUGAAAAGGAUGCAGUCGGGUGGAUGAUCGAACAUUUGACGAAAGCCAUAGAAAUGAAGAGUCACUUCGGGUUCAACCGAAAGUUCAGGAGAAAAUUUUGUGUGAAUUUGAUGGAAGUUGGCUUCAACAACCACGAAAGGUUCAUAAGGAUCUCGGAGUUCGCUACCAACAGAAAAUCUACUUUUCUAGUUAUUCCUAAGGACGAGAAGGGCGGAUGGGAGAAUCUAAAAAGUGCGUUGUCUUCAAUGUUGGUGGUCCCCCCUUCAAAUGCAAUUGAAAAAGGAAGACAAUACAGAGGAAAAAGGUUUAUCCACAAUCACGUGGGUCCUCUGUACCGGUCCUUCGCGAAUGUAGUUAGCGAUGAAGGACCAAGGAGAGGUGGUCUCGUUCCUGUCGGGAGGUGGGCGCGAGCCGUGGUGUGUGAAUGCAAUGCUGAUAGCGUUAAAUGGGUUGAGGUUGGCCGAGCGGUGGCGAGAAGCUUAGGGAAGAAAGGAAUGGCAACGAUUGUACCCAUCUCAGGAGGAAAAAAAGUAUUUUUUGUUGAAACAAUAGAAAAAGUUCUCUUUCUCCAGGAUUUAAGGAUUCUUAGGGUUGAAGGAAGGAUUACAGUCCAAUUGAGAAGGUGGUCACCAAAGGAAAAUUCGAAAAUAGAGGGGAAGUUCAGAGGAGGCUAGAUCGAAUUACGAGAGUUGCCAUUUCAUCUAUGGUCUAAGGUUCACCUGAAGAAAAUUGUGGAGCAGUGGGGGAUGGUGACUAAAAUUGAUUGGCAAACGUUGAAACUAUUCGAUCUUAGUAAGGCAAGGGUAAGAAUUGCAAUGAAGGAUAGGUCAGUCCUUCUAGCUUUGAUCGAGGUGAUAGACGGGAAUUGGGUGUUUACAAUUUCUGUCGUAGUGCUCGGAGAUGAAGACGUUAAGAGAGGUAGAGUAAUGGGUGAGUCAACUCGGGAGGUUUGUGCAUCUCACUUGGGGACAGGUGGAGGAAGGCGGGGGGAGAGAGUCAGAUCAAUGACUGGGGGAAGAUGCCAUGUUGGGGAAGAUGGCAGAAUGAAGAAGGGAGGAGAAAGGGGUAUGGUUGUUGUUUUUCCAGUGGGGACACGUGGUAAGAGUGGUCAAGAUGAGGGGAACAGUUGGCUCCUAACCCCAUCGUUGCCCAGUUUGAAUUAAAAAAAAAAUGAACAAUGGGCCAAUUGGGUUUAAGGAGACGGGAGGAGUUAGGGUCAGUGGGGACGAGGUCUCCUCUGAUGAGGGAUGUCGGGCCACUGAGAGGAAGGCCCAGUCUUUGUCUAAGCCUAGUCCACUAAUUGUAAAAGUGGGCUGCAACAUAAAAGGCCCGUCGGGGUUGGGCCAAAGCAUAGGAGGUAAGAAGAUAGAUGACAAGAAGGUUUCGUUACGAAGGGAAGAAGAUUCUUCUGCAGUGGGAAAGGGGAAAGCUACAUCUAUAGUUCCUAAGGUUCAGUCGAAUAGCUCCAUGAAGAAGGAAGUGAAGUUUGGUUCAAAGAAGCUGUGGCCUACCCUUUUUCCUCUAAGUUCUGAUCGCUAACAAGGUCUUCGGUGUCGCAGUGAGCCUCUAUUGUACCGGAAGAAUUCGGCAAACAACAAAGAGUUUCCAAAAGAAGAGGCUUUCGGGGACGAAUCUCAGGCGGAACGAGGAUUUAGUGCAAGUCCUCUCACUUCUCGUCGAUCACCAAGGUUUCAUAAGAGAUGUUUGGGGGAAGGGGCUUCGUCGUCAAGAGGCGAAGUGGCUUUGUGCAAACUUUCCUUUGAUGAAGACAGAGAAGGAUUUUUGGGCUGAUGGGGUCCGACCUUUGUGGCUCAACAGUCACAGUUUUGCCCUUUACACUAGAAAUCAGAGGUAAAGGGCUUAGCUUUAUGGGGAAUUGUGGAUUGUUGGUAGCAGAAAACUUGGGAGGUAAACUCGUCUUCACCUACUCAGCCACCUUUGUCUUCUCUACCCCCUUCUUGUGGUUUGGCUUCUUCUUUUCUGUGUUCUUUUGUUCCCAAUCUUCCCAGUUCAGCCUUCCAAUCUCAGUUUCCUAUGGAAAAUCGAGUAAACUUUGAAUUUUUUUCCAAAAAAGACGACGUUGGUACUGUAGGUCAAAUUUUGUUGGCAUCCCUAAACUUGUUGUGGAGGAGAUUCAACCUGCUUAUCUAUACCAGAUGAUCGAGAGUUUUAACCCAAUUAUGUCUAAACCCAUUUUGCCUAAUAAGGUCUUCAACCUGGUUACAGUUAGCCAAGGUGUGACUACGGGCUCCCCAUCAGAUGAGUUCCAAAUAGAAGGCCUGUCCCCUGAGAAAAUCGCUAAAGUGCGUGAGGUCUUAAGUUCUCUGGAUAUUAAAGUAUAUUUCAGGAGGAAGAGUAGAUGCUCCACAAGUAUGUGAGACCUAUUGGAACUGGAUUGGAGGAUUAGGGUCUGUGUGGUUUUUCCAUGAAGAUAAUUAGUAGGAAUACCAAGGGUUUGGGUUCAAGGAAAAAGCGAAGGGUGGGUUAAGAUUUUCUGAGAUCAAAAAAUCUGGAUGUUGUGAUGAUUUAGGAAACAAAAAAGGCGGAGUGUGACAGAAGGUUUGUAGGUAGUGUUUGGACAGUCAGAAAUAAGGAAUGGGCAGCUCUUCCGGCAUGCGGGGCUUCGGGAGGGAUUUUGAUUAUUUGGGACUCCAAAAAACUACGCAGUGAGGAAGUGGUAAUAGGAUCCUUUUCGAUCUCAGUCAAGUUUGCUUUGGAUGGAUGCGGACCGUUAUGAUUGUCCGUAGUUUAUGGCCCAAACAGCCUAGUACUUGGGAAGGAUUUUUGGGUGGAGCUUUCAGACAUUUUUGGACUUUCUUUCCCAUGUUGGUGUGUGGGCGGCGAUUUUAAUGUCAUAAGGAGAAGUUCAGAAAAAUUAGGAAGUUCUAGUUUAACCCCAAGCAUGAGGGACUUUGAUGAUUUUAUAAGAGAAUAUGAAUGACUAGAUCCACCUUUACGGAGCACACCAUUCACUUGGUCAAACAUGCAAGAGUCUCCCGUGUGCAAGAGAUUGGAUCGAUUUCUUUACUCAAAUGAGUGGGAACAAUUAUUUCCUCAAAACCUUCAAGAAGUUCUUCCUAGAUGGACAUCGGAUCAUUGGUCGAUAGUCUUGGAAACCAAUCUAUUCAAGUGGGGCCCAACACCUUUUAAGUUUGAGAAUAUAUGGUUGCAACAUCCUAAUUUUAAGGAGAGCUUUAGAAGUUGAUGGAGAGAUUUUCAAGGAAAUGGGUGGGAAUGUCACAAGUUCAUGAGGAAAUUACAAUUUAUUAAGGCCAAAUUGAAAUAGUGGAAUAAGGCUUCUUUUGGAGAGCUAAACGAAAGGAAAAAAAGUAUCCUGUUCGAAUUAGCUAACUUUGAUUCCAUUGAGCAAGAAGGGGGUCUCACCUCUGAACUUUUAAUUUAGAGAGCUUUAAGAAAAUGAGAGUUAGAGGAAUUGAUUUUGAGGGAAGAAAUUCAUUGGAGACAAAAAGUUAGGGUGAAAUGGGUUAAGGAAAGGGAUUGUAACUCAAAAGUUUUUUCAUAAAGUGGCUAAUGGCGGGCGAAAUAAGAAAAAAAAAAGGUGUUGGAGAAUGAAAGAGGCCUAGUAUUGAAUAAUUCAGAGAGCAUCAAAGAGAAGAUUUUAAUGUAUUUUGAAAAGCUCUACUCGAGCCCUUCUAGAGAGUCUUGGAGAGUUGAAGGCUUAGAUUGGUCCCCUAUAUUUGGAGAAAGUGCGUCUAGGUUGGACUCCCCUUUUACUGAAGAAGAUAUUUUUAAGGCCAGUUGAAUAGGGAUAAGGCAUCGGGGCCUGAUGGUUUUACAAUUGCAGUGUUUCAAGAUUGUUGGGAUGUGAUCAAGGAGGAUCUAGUGAGAAUGUUUGCAAAGUUUCAUAGAAGCGGGAUUAUCAAUCAAAGCACUAAUGCCUCCUUCAUAGUUCUGUUACCCAAAAAAAGCAUGUAAAAAAAAAUCUCAGACUUUAGACCUAUUAGCUUGAUCACUAGUCUUUACAAGAUAAUAGUCAAAGUGUUAUCAGGGCGUCUAAGAGGGGUAUUACACGGAACUAUCCAUUCUACUCAAGGCGCUUUUGUUCAAAGGAGACAAAUUUUGGAUGCAGUUGUCAUAGCCAAUGAGAUAGUGGAUGAGAAAAGACAAUCAGGAGAGGAAGGAGUUGUCUUCAAAAUUGACUUUGAAAAGGCUUACAACCAUGUGAGUUAGGAUUUUUUGGAUCAUGUGUUGGAGAAGAAGGGGUUCAGUCCUAGAUUGAGGAAAUGGAUAAGAGGUUGUUUGUCCACGGUAUCUUUUGCAGUCUUAGUGAAUGGAAACGCUAAAGGGUGGGUCAAGGCAUCUAGAGGUUUAAGACAAUGAGACCCUUUAUCCCCUUUUUUGUUCACUUUAGUCGCAGAUGUACUGAGCAGGAUGUUAUUGAGAGCAGAAGAAAGAAAUGGCUUGGAGGGUUUCAGGGUGGGUAGGAACAGAACAAGGGUGUCCCAUUUGCAAUUUGCAGAUGAUACCAUUUUCUUUUCUAGCACUCGAGAGAAGGAUCUGCAGACCCUCAAGAGUGUAUUGCUAGUGUUUGGGCAUAUUUCUGGGUUGAAGGUUAACCUUGACAAAAGCAAUAUUUAUGGCAUUAAUCAUGAACAGAAUCAUCUUUCUAGGUUGGCCUAGCCGCUAGAUUGCAAGGCUUCUGUUUGGCCUAUACUCUACCUGGGUCUUCCUCUAGGAAGGAAUCCCAAGGCUUGUGGCUUUUGGGAUCCAGUGUUUGAGAGGAUCUCGAGAAGAUUAGAUGGGUGGCAAAAGGCGUAUUUAUCUUUUGGAGGCAGGAUAACUCUCAUUCAAUCUUGCCUUACCCAUAUGCCUUGCUACUUCCUCUCCUUGUUUAAGAUUCCCGCCUCAGUGGCAGCAAAAAUUGAGAGAUUACAAAGAGAUUUUUUAUGGUCGAGGGUUGGGGAAGGCAAAAAAGAUCAUCUUGUUAGUUGGGAUGUAGUGUGUAAUCUGAAGGCAAAAGAGGGAUUGGGAUUUAGGAAGAUUUCUAUAAGGAAUUUAGCUCUAUUAGGUAAAUGGUUGUGGAGGUACCCUAGAGAGGGGUUAGCUCUGUGGCAUCAGGUUAUUUUAAACAUUUAUGGAUCACACUCCAAUGGUUGAGAUGGCAACACUAUAGUCAGAUGGUCACAUCGUUGUCCUUGGAAGGCUAUUGCACAAGUCUCCCAGGAGUUUUACAAGUUUACUCGGUUUGUGGUAGGAGAUGGGAAAGAAUUCGGUUCUGGGAAGACUAGUGGUGGAGGGACCAGCCUUUGGGAGUCCAAUAUCCAAGACUAUUUAGAGUAGUCACGGAUAAGUAUAUUCCUAUUUCUUCAAUUCUCGGCUCUACUUGUCCCUUCUCUUGGAAAUUUAACUUUCGUCGUAACCUUUCCGAUUCUGAGAUAGGAGAUUUAGUUAGAAGGUCUCAUGCGGUCUCUUGAUCGUCUGCAUUUAUCUCCUUCGGUUUCAGAUAUGAGAUCCUGGUCCUUAUCUUCUUCAGGACUUUUUACAGUCAAAUCUUUCUUUCUUGCCUUAUCCCAAUUUUCUGGUUUUCCUUCAGUUUUCUCUUCUAAGUUUGUUUGGAAUUCUCAAGCCCUUUUCAAAGUCAAGUCUUUUGUCUGGUUAGUGGCACACAAGAAGGUAAAUACUAAUGACUUGCUACAGUCGAGAAGACCCUACAAAGCGUUUAGUCCUGAUAUUUGUAAGUUGUGCAUGAAGCAUGGAGAAUCAGUAGAUCAUCUUUUUCUACAUUGCUCUUUGACGAUGGGGUUAUGGCACAGAUUAUUUCAGUUAGCCAAGACGGAUUGGGUCCCCCUGAGGAGCAUCUCCGACAUGUUGUCCACCAAUUUUAACGGUUUUGGUUUUUCUAAGAGAGGGAUUGUUUUAUGGCAAGCUGUGUACAUCGCUCUAAUUUGGGUUGUGUGGCGGGAAAGAAAUGCAAGGAUUUUUUAGGAUAAAGUAAGGAAUUCAGAGAAUCUUUGGGAUUCUAUUCAUUUCCUUGCUUCUCUUUGGGCUUUUUGUUCCAAGGUUUUUAAGGGGACUCCCCUUAACGUGUUACAACUUGAUUGGUUAGCGGUGUGUAAUUCCAUUGGGUUGGUCUAACCUAGAGAGUUUGCUUGUUUUUACUUUGUAUUUUCUUGUAUUUGCUUCCUUGUAGUUUUGUUUUUCUUUGGUGGGAGGAUUCCUCAUCCUUCUCUUGUACUUCUUUUAAUAAAUAUAUCCCUUUGUCGUUUCCUAUCAAAAAAAAAAAAAAAAGUCUAAGUUGCUUAUGAUAGGUGGCAAGGCUUCUAAUUCUGGGAAGAAGAAGACUAAGCAGGGGACACUCUAGCCAAAAAAGAUAGGGAUAAAAGGAGACUCCUCAAAAUUCCAAGUCAAUUCCAAGUAGAAAUAUAGAGCAAAUCCACUCUAUAAUAGAGCAAAUGAAUUCAUUUUUUUCCUAAACAUAUUCUACAAUUUCUCUCAUUCCAUAGAAACCAAAUAAUUGUAGACACAGUCCUUUUCAUAACCUCUAGAAACUCCAAGACCUGGGCAAAAUCUAAGGAAGGGUGGAUCUUUUGAAUCUACCCAACUAAUUCCAGAAAACAUCAAAUAUCAAAAUGUAAACCCAAAUGAUGGUGGCUGGCACUUUUAAGAAUUGAGCUAAACAAUAAUGAGAGGAAAGAGUAUCAGCAGCCCCCUAAUCUAGUAUAUCAUAAUGUUUGAAGAAGUGUCUAUAAACUCCUUAGCAACAGAUGGCCAAAAGCAACAAGUGACAAGCCCUUUAACAGUUUCAUCAUUUUGCACAUAACGCACAUGCUUGAAGAAAUGCUUUAGGCCUCUUCCAGAGACAACCAAAAGUGUUCAUGCUCAUCAAUGCAAAAAUCUAAGCUAAGCUUCAAUCUCUGUGGAAGAUAUGGAUUCCAAAAUUAACUUGUGAGGGCAAGUAGGAAUAUAAAGAAACAACCACACAAGAAUGGAAGGAAUCUUCUGUUGGGAAAAAAAAAAGGCUUGGAAGGCUGCUCUGCUAUGCAUGUUUUGGACCAUAUGAAGGGAAAGAAAUAGGAGAGGAUUCGACAAUUGUGAAAAUUUGAACCAAACAAUUAGAAGUUCUUUCUUGAAUCUUUUUUGGGAGUGGGUAAGAUUGUAUAUAGGAGCGGCUCUUUAUCAUUGUUAAGAGUUUGUGGACUGGAUGGGCUCUUUGUAGGGCACAGUUUUUGGUUUUUGUGCUCCCGCAGUUUUUUUGGUUUUUAGGUUGCUUUGUAUACAUCAUGUAUACUUCUUUUUUCUCCAAUACACUUACUCUUACUUAUCAAAAAGGAAUAUCCAUAAGAAUAUCAAGCAGUAACUUAUGUUUGUUUCUAAUAAAAUAAUGUAAAGCAGUAAACCCAUAAUCCAAAAUCCUCUCUUGUCCAGAAUGAAAAGGAGAGGUAAAUGUCCUGAGAGGAAAAAUAUGACCUAUUAAACUACCAUUACAUCAAGAUUCAUAGGAGAAUGGAAGUAAAGAAUGGAAAUGGUAGGCCCACACACCAUAACUAGGAGACCUAGUUUGUAACUCAAGACCUGAAGGGACAUAAUUUGAGAUAUGCAACCUGAUUGCACUAUUUCCCACAUAUCUGAUCACUCUCUGAUUCUUCUUGAUGGGGGAGGGUUGAGGAGAAGGCCCACGCCAUUUAGAUUUGAGAAUAUAUGGCUGAAGGAGGAAGGCUUUAAAGAGGUGUUGAGAAAGUGGUGGGAAGGGAUUCAACUUAGUGGGUCAGCCAGCUUCAUUUUGACUGAAAAAUUGAAGGCAUUAAAACCAAUUCUGAGAAGUUGGAAUAAAGAGGUUUUUGGUCAAAUUGAUUCUAAGAAGCAAAGUGCUUGGAAUUUAAUGGAUUUCUGAGAUAAGGAAGAGAGUGUUCGCUCUUUGUCUUUGGAAAAAGAAGAAGCUAGGAAGGAGGUAAGAGAGAUAUAUAAAAAGUGGGUUCUUUUAGAAGAAGUGUCAUGGAGGCAGAAGUCUAGGUAAAUUUUGCUGAAAGAAGGGGAUAGAAACACAAGGUUUUUUCAUCAAAUGGCUAAUGUUCAUAGAAGAAGGAAUCAGAUGACUAGAGUAAAAGGGAAUGGGAGGUAGUUCACCGAGGAAAGUGAAAUCAAAGAGGAGGUGAGUAGAGCUUUCCAAGGUCUGUUGGCAGAUCCAGGUGAUUGGAAGCCCAGUAUAGAUGGUUUGAAUUUUGAGAGGCUGGAAGACUUGGAUGUGGAGGGGCUGGAGAAGCCUUUCUCGGAAGAGGAGGUUUAUGAUCUGCUGUCAAGUUUUUAUAGAGAAAAAGUGUCAGGCCCUGACGGUUUCUCAAUGGCAUUUUGGCAGUUUUCUUGGGAUUUUGUAAAAGAGGAGGUACUAAACUUCUUCAGAUAGUUCCAUGAGACAAGGAGUUUUGUCAGAAGUCUGAAUGCAACCUUUCUAGUGUUGAUUCCUAAGAAAGGGGGGGCUAAGGACUUGAAGGAUUUUAGGUCAAUUAGCUUGGUGAGAGGGUUGUACAAGUGGUUAGCUAAGGUGCUGGCUAACAGAAUGAAGGGAGUAUUAGCUAAGGUGAUCUCAACGUCUCAAAAUGCUUUUGUGGAGGGGCAGCAAAUUAUGGAUGCAGUGUUGAUUGCUAAUGAAGCAAUAGAAGGGCGAUUCUCUGCAAAUUAGACAUUGAGAAAGCCUAUGACACGUUGACUGGUCAUUUCUUUUAGCGGUGUUGGAGAAGAUGGAGUUUGAGAAAAGGUGGUGUAGAUGGAUAAAGUUGUGUUUAUCCACUGUUGGUUUUCAGUUAUGGUGAAUGGAAGCCCUACUGGAUUUUUCCAGAGCUCAAGGGGUUUAAGACAAGGAGACCCCCCUUUCACCUUACUUAUUCGUAGUUGUGAUGGAGGCUUUUAGUUAUAUGCUAAAGAGAGUAGUUUUAGGAGGUUUUUUGUCUCCUUGUUCGAUUUGGGGAAGAAGGGGUGAAGGGGUUUAGGUCUCUCAUUUGUUGUUUGCUAAUGACACGUUGAUUUUUUGUGAGGCAAAGGAGGAGUAGUUAGCGUAUUUGUGCUGGUUGUUAAUGUGGUUUGAGGCAAUCUCAAGGUUAAAAGCGAAUAUGGAAAAAAAUGAACUGAUUCCGGUUGGUAAAGUUGAGAAUGUGGAAGAGUUGGCUAAUGAGUUCGGUUAUAAGGUGGGAAAAUUGCCCUCCACCUAUUUAGGAAUGUCGUUGGGUGCUACUUUUAAAUCCGUUGCCGCUUGGGAUAGAAUAGAAAAAAGGUUCCGAAAGAGAUUGGCUAUGUGGAAACGUCAAUCCAUCUCAAAAGGGGGGAGGGUUACCUUAAUUCGAAGUACCUUGUCCAAUUUGCCGAUCUAUUUUAUGUCUAUUUUCCAGCUGCCUAGGGUGGUUAGAAUGAGAUUGAAGCAGAUUCAAAGGGAUUUUCUAUGGGGUGGUGGGGCUCUUAAGCAAAAACCGCACUUAGUAAGGUGGCCGAUUGUGUGUGUAAACAAAAGAAAAGGAGGGUUGGGGGUCAAGAGUCUUGGGACUUUCAAUAAGGCUCUCCUUGGCAAGUGGGCUUGGCACUUUGCAAAUGAAAGAAAGGCCCUUUGGAAUCAAGUGAUUAGAAGGAAAUACGAGGAGGAAAGAGGAGUGUGGAGAUCUUGUGAGGCUAGAGAGGCCUAUGGAGUUGGGUUGUGGAAAGCAAUAAGUAAGAUGGGACAAACUAGUAACCCCUUCUUUUGGCUUUGUGGUGGGUGAUGGUAAGAAGGUGAGGUUUUGGAAAGACAAGUGGUGUGGAACCACCCCUUUGUGCGAGGUUUUCCCUUCAUUAUUUGCUCUAGCAACUUCCAAAGAGGCGUGGGUAAAUGAAGUUUGGACAGCCGAGGGGGAAAGGGGGGGAAGUCGGACUCCUCAUUUCAAUAGACCUUUCAAUGAUUGGGAGUUGGAAGAAGUGGAAAGGUUGCUUUGUUGCUUGGAUGGGAAGAAGGUCAGGGUGGAUGAGGAGGAUAGGGUGAGGUGGAUGGACUCAAAGGAUGGGGUUUUUUCGGUAAAAUCUUUGUAUAGGGCUUUGCAGCCGGUGUCUCUUACUUUUUUCCCUUUGAAGAUUAUUUGGAACUCUUGUGUGCAGCCCAAAUUAAGCUUCUUUGCGUGGGAGGCUUCGUGGGAAAGAGUUCUAACCUUGGACCGUUUGCAAAAGAGGGGUUGUGCAUUGGCAAAUAGAUGCUUUCUGUGUCAAACAAGUGAGGAGUCGAUCGACCACCUCCUCCUUCAUUGUGAAAAGACAAGGGAAGUGUGGAUGUUGUUCCUUUCUUUUUUUGGAGUAUCUUGGGUUUUCCCUUUUUCGGUAAAGGAAACCCUUUUAGGAUGGAGGGGCUCUUUUGUGGGUAAGAAGAGGAAGGUGGCGUGGCAAGUGAGACCGUUAUGCUUGGUUUGGGUCAUUUGGAACUAGGAAUACAAUUGCUUUUGAGGAUUGUGUGCUGUCCAUUCAAAGGCAGAAGCUUCUUUUGUGUAUUUACUUUGGUCGGAAACCAAAUUGUGAAUAAAAGAUAGUCCUUCAACCUUAAUAGAUUUUAUAGAUUGGGUGUGUUUGCAAUGAGGGAGAAGGUUUUUUGUUUUUUCCUUGUUGUUUGGGUCCUUUUGUAAGGGGGUGAGUUUUUCUAUACUGUAUUUCUGUGGGUCGCUAUUUUAGCGCCUCUUUGCAAUACAUUUUUCUGCUUAUUGAUCAAAAAAAAAUUUCCCACUGCAAACCAUCCCAAGCACACACACAGAGAGCAUCUUAUAUGUGAGAAGAAAGAAGGAAUUGACUAAUCAUAUGUUGUCACUUCUCAGGACAUUCCAAAACAUCAUGAAGCAGUUAUACUGCCAGCUUAUUCUAAGUCAGUGGGGCUUGGUAAUGUGAUCUUGCUCUUAGAGAAGGUAAUUUCCUGGAAUUAGAAUAGAUCAAACAAGUGGACCCGAACCUUGAGGUACUAACUACACCUGGCACAACCAGUACUAAGUAAUCCAGGGCAUUCAACCAGUGGCAGAAAUCAAACCCAAGCAAAGGUAAUUCUCAUUCUUAAGGAAUGGGGAAAAAGAAGGGGGGGGGGGGGGGGGCGGGGUGGUAAAAAAAAAAAAGGAAAAAAAAAAAACCCUUUUUCACCCCCUUAUUUAUUUUUUUACAAAAAAAUCUGAAUUUUUUAAAAAAAAAAUUUGAAGGGUUAAUUCAAAAAUUUGCUUAAACCCCCAAAAAAUUUCGGGGAACAAAAAACUAAACUAAAAAUGAAGGGCAACAAAACCCCCAAGGCCGGAAAAAAACCAAAUUUUAAAAAAUAAACCUCAUAUCUUUUUUUACCUUUAAUUAGGAACAAAAAUUCCAUAUUCUUUCAAAGGGAUGCUUUUCCGGAAAAAAAAUUUUUUUUCCCAAGCAAAAAUGCCCCCAAACCAAAAANNNNNNNNNNNNNNNNNNNNNNNNNNNNNNNNNNNNNNNNNNNNNNNNNNNNNNNNNNNNNNNNNNNNNNNNNNNNNNNNNNNNNNNNNNNNNNNNNNNNUGGCAACUAAAUACUAAACUAGAAAUGAAGGUCAACAUAACCCCCAAUGCUGAUAAUAACCAAAUAUUAGAAUAUAAACAUCAUAUCAUUUUUUACCUUUAAUUAGGAACAGAAAUUCCAUAUUCAUUCAGAGGGAUGCAUUUCCUGAGAUAAGAUUUUUGUUCCCAAGCAUAAAUGCCAGCAAACCAAAUAUGCUCUUGGGAACAUAUUCUCUGAACCUAAACAUACCAAAGAGCUAUCCGUACACUAAAAUGGUUGUUGAAAGGUCGUUCAGUUAUUUUAUUCAUCACAAAAUACCCACAUGGUACAUACAAUUAAAUAUGAAAAGCAACUUCAGAAUAUAUCAAUGUAGCAGACAAUUUAAAAUGAGAAUAAAACUAAUCGAUGAUAAAGAAAAUAAGACAAUUUUUAUUAAAAAAAGUUGAAAUGACAAAACACACACACACAAAUAACAUCAUACUACAGUAAAGAGUAAUCACCUCCUUCGUACUAAGAGUUCUCAAAGAACGAGUUGUAUCUUGAGCCCGAAAAACUAUAGUCUGCAAAAUCUGUUCAUCGAACAUGAUAAAACCAUAACAAAUGCAAAUCAGUAUUCCACAGGAUGAACAAGUACAAAUUAAGGAAACACAACCUGCGAUUUGAUGUCUGUGGCAUACUUCACAACAAAGAGCUCUCAACAAAAAUUUUUAAUAAAAAAAUUCAAAGAAUGGAAAAAGGGAAUAGAAAAACCUGAAGAACAGAAAGAUGUCAUCUAAGAAAAAAGAUAGGGAAAAAAAAAACCUAAAUAACAGGCCACAACUUGCAGGCUGACAAAGAAAACGAAGAGAAUAAGCUCAUUUAAGACACAAAGUUCCCAACAUAGAAAUCCAAAGCGGUGGAACCAUUUUAGCCAAGAAUUUCAAAUCAACCAAUCUAUGAAUCUACAGCAAGGAAACAACUCAAACUAUACUACUUGAUAAAGUGCAAAGCCCCUUAGGUCUUUUGUAAAAGGUUCAAGAAAUUAAUUAAACAGUACACAACAGAAGAAAACCAGUGCAAACAGAAACCAAACAAAAAAUACCUUCAUUCCUCACCCAUCAGCAUAGUGAUAAAUAUAGAAAUAAUAAAUAAGUUGCUAAGACCUUUACCUUACGGAAGGACUCGGGGCCCAUCUGUUUUUCCAACAUUUGAAGGAUUGCAACCUUUUAGAGAACACAACAAACAAUCAAAAAAGGAAUACGAUAAGAAACUAACCAAAAACAAUUACUAAGUACAGAAAAAACUUACAGACUUCCAUGAUCUUAUUUUUCCAUAUAAGCCAAUGCACUGGGUUCCAUAUAAAUCCUUACAAGAAGCAGAAGAGCUCAAAGCAGUUGCGCCACUAUCAUCUGCUUUGCAAACAGCACAAUUUGCCUGCACUUUGAAGACGUAAAAUUGCAUGAAUUUGCUUUAAAUACAUGAAAAUUCGACUCUUAUUAUCAGCAUUUGCAAGAGAAGACAAAGGAUAGUAACUUCUGAAUGGAUUACAGUGAAAGUAAAUAGAACUUAAAAAGCAAGCUCCUAAGUGCAGAACUAAAAUACUAGGAAACAUCCAGAAUUCCAGGUAAAAUAAGAUGCCACAGGUAAAAUAAGAAUGUUAUAAUUUAAAAUUGUUAAAAUCAGUAAAUCAAAUUCUACUAGACUUUUCGGCUUAUUAUGUAAAGUUAUAACUCAAUUCUACUUUCAUAGUGUAUUUACCAUUCUUUUCUUUUCUUUUCUUUUUUAUUUUAUAUAGGCAAAUAGAUCAACAUUGAAAAGCACAUCACAGAAAAAGAUUGGGCACACACACAAACACGGGGCAGUUCUAUUUUCAUAGUUAUUCAGGUAUUUUCAAUAUUCAUGGUUGACAGGCCAAGGAGAGAAUUUUGUGGCUAUUACCAUUUUAAAAAACAAAAAUAAAAAUAAAUAAAUAAAUAAGAUGGCAUCAUGCACAUCAAUCCUCACACCAUUUGAAUCCAAAACUAAAGAACUUGUUUGGCAACAUUUGUGAAAACAGUUCUCAAAAAACAAUUUUUGUGAACAGUUCUUGAUUAUUUUCAAGAACAAAAUUCUAUUUGGGUACUCCAAUAUGAAAAACAGUUUUCCCAACUUAUUCUCCAUGAGAGUAGUAUGCAUUUAUGUAUAAUGCAAAAGUUCCUAAAGUAUUCUCAAUAGUUUCAAGUGUUACUAAGAAUACUCUAUAAAUAACAGCUGAAAACACCUCAAAUUUGUUCUAAAAAACAGUCAAUUUUCACAACAAAUUCUCAAAAAAAAAUAUUUCUAUCAAAAAAAUUGUCAAACAUGUUUUCCAAGUUAGAACAUGGUUUUUUGCUAUAAAGAACAAAAAAACUGUUUUUAAGAACAGUUUCCAACAAACCCUAAGGAUUCAACUCUCUAAGUAUCAAUAUCACCAAUAUCAAUGCAAAUUAAUAACAGCAUAUUCCAUUUUUUUCAAAUUAUUAAAGAUGUUAACAAGUAUUAGUCUUAGCAUCAAACUAUUCCAGCAAGGUGUGAAUUAAAAUGCUCAUUCUAAAGUCAGUUUCUUUAUUUAGAAAGUUGUGUAGGUGAAGAUUCUUAUUGUCUGCAAUUUAUGAGAAGAGGUAGUAUCCUUGUGUUGUCUGUGUUGCUUGUGCAAACAAAAGGACAAAUUGGCUAACCCAUACUCUUACUCAUUGUGAUUGUGCACAUAGCUUAUGAUCUCCAUUGUUUGCCAUCUUUGGAGUUGCUUGGGUUUGGCCUUUCUUAGUCAAGAACAUGCUCAUUACCGGCAUAAUAAGUUCAUGGGCAAGAGGAGGAUGGAGAGAAUGCCCCUUUGUGCUUAUUCUUGCCUCUAAACAGAGCACAUCAAAGAAAUUUUGGAGUGUCGGGAUCAGGUUCUGAAACAUUAUUUCCCUGAAUUCCUAUUUCUUUGCUCAAGGAAUUCCUAAGGUGUUAGGAAGCUGUCUUUCUUAGACAUUGUUUAUGAAAUGGGGAUGGUUUAAAGCCUUCUUAGCAACCAUAGUUCCAUUUUAUUCUUUCCUUUUGUUUCUUAGUGUUCAUUGCUUGCUUUUCAACUACCCAAGUUGUCCUAGUUCAACCCAAGUUGCAUGCCUACCUCACAUGGUUUCAGUCCCCUUGUACUGUUUCUCUUCCUCUGAUAAUAUUCUUUUUCUUAUUAAAAAGCAUCAAAAAGGAUGAGGGAAGGAGGAAUAGGCAAUGAACCUAAUGGCGGAAAGCCUUUUAAAGACUAUUCAAGGAAGAUGGAAGACCUAAGUAAACUUUAAGUAUAAUUAAUAUUAAUUAGAAUUGAAUUAGGAUUACUAUUUGUUGGAGUCAAAUUAGGAUUAGCUAAUUAAAUUAUAAUAUAAUUAGAAUUUGAGUCAUAAUAGGUUAUUAGAGUCCUAGUAGACUUUGGAUGUUAUAAUUAGGAUUAGAUUCAUAAUAGGUUAUUAGAAUCCUAAUAGACCUUGGAUUGCUUAGAGAAGCCUAUAAAUGGGCUGAUUGAUGUAAAUCAAAGAAAUGAAUUGAUUGAUAUUAAUAAUAUUAUGUUUUUCUUCAUUGCAAGUGUUGCAAUCCUCAAUGGUGAGAUUCCAUUGAUUUUCUUCUAAGUGAGACUCCUAGAAGGUCUUAGUGAGACUCUAAGGUUCUCAUUUUUUCUUCAUCGUUUCUUCUCUCUCUAUUUUUUUUUUUUUUUUUUUUUCUACCAUAAACUUUAUUCCUUAUUCCUCUCCUUAUACUCUAAAAUCAAAACCCUAGCCCACCUACUUUGAGUGUAGGCAACCAUCUUAGGGUUGUCCUACAUCAAUUCCUUCUCCGAUGUUAUCACUCCUCUCUUAGCCAAGAAACCCACUUCCAUAUCAACAACAUUAAACAUCUAAGAAACUAUGCACUAAGGAUUAAUAAAAGUCCUUUACAUCCUUCAAACUGUAGGCAUAUCUCCAAGAUCCACAUGCUCUACUGCAAACCCACCUGAAAAUGGUGGAAAAAUUCUUAUUUAACAAUGAUUUCUAUAAUGGUAAUUUUGGACAAAUUGGAGGCAUUCCUGAAGGCCUUAAAGAAGAGCUAUAAUUUCCACAUCUAAGAAGUCCAACCAAUACAAUUUUAAAUAGAAAGUCAACUCAUUGAAGCUCAAGUUAUCUUAAGCAGCUAGAGGGGAAUCCACUUAAAGCAUAUUCAAUAGUGAAAGCACAAAGCCUGUUUAUUACCUCUAAUCCCAAAAAAAAUUUAAAAAAAAAAAAAAAAAAAGCCAAAGAGUAUAGAGCCAAUCAAAGCCCUAGUCAAUGCUAGGAUGGCAAUUCUAUCCCACAUAUGAUUUUUUUUCUUUUUGAUAUAUUUUUUCUUUUUUUAAUUUUAUGAUAGGCAAAGAUCAAUUAUAUCAACAUUGCCUAACAAAAGGGUAUACAAAGGCAUAUACUGUAAAUACAAGGAUGCUAAAAGCCAAAAUGAAUCUCUAGCUUUGCUUAGAUUUAACCAGUUAACAAAGUCCAUCAUGGAGAAACAACUAUCUCCUGUGUACACUCUAACCCACUCCAAAAUGUUAUAUAUAAUUAUUUGAUUGUUUGAUCCACUUUUUCAAAAUUAUCAAAUGCUCUCAUAUUUCUCUCCCUCCAUAUGAUUUAAAAUAAGCACAAAGAAGCAACUCUCCAAGUUUUCUUCUUCGUUCCAAAAAAGGAUCCAUGUCAAUUGAGGAAUGUAUCACCCAAUCUAUUCCAAAUAAAGCAUGAAUCAGUUGUAAUAGGAUGACUACGUUCUAACAGUGAAGAAGGAUGUGAUCAACAGUUUGUUCUUCUCCUUUGCAAAGAUAGCAUUUGUUCAAAAUCCUCUAACCCCUCCUUUUGAGUUGAUCCAAAGUCAAUAUCCUUCGUUGAAUAGUUUCUCAGGUGACAGUAUCCAAUAAUUCCAAUCAAUACUAGAAGGGAAUGUCUCCAUUCUUAAAUUUGAUACAGAGGAUAAAGAAAUUUAACUAAAAAAAAUGUCUUUCCUUGAAUUCAACCAAACCAUUUUAUCAUUUAUAUCCCUAUAAAUUGUUUGUGCUAACAGCUUUUAAGAAAGGCCUUCAUGCCAUCUAUCUCCCAGUAAUGAAUCUAUCUUACAAACCUCGAGUUCUAAUAAUCUCCCAUGCCAUCCUGCUCCCAUACAUCAACUAACCAUGCAUCUUUACCCGUGGCUAAUAAGAAUAAUUCUGAAAAAACUUCGUCUAGGAACAAGUCACCAGCCCACCUAUCCUUGCAUAAUUUCACAUUCCACCCACCACCUACAUUAAAACUAGUUUGAUUGUUAAAGGUCUCCCACCAGCUUACACACCCACCCCAUACCCUUCCCCCACUUCUUGAGAGCACCACCUCCCCAUACUUCCCUACCAUAGUUUUAAAAGGCUCAAGGCGCACCAAGGCACAAAGUAGUCCUGGAGCCUGAGGCGCAGGUUUUAGUGAAGUGAGGCACACCCUAAUUUACAUAUAUUUUUCCUCCUCUUCUUCGCCUUCUUCACUUCUCCAUUGCACAGCUGAGGCUAGGGCAAAAUUUGGGAGAGUUGUCGGGUUGAAAGCAACCAGAAAAGGGGGCUGGAAGGGAAAACAGGGCCAAAACAUCAUUGUUUUGGCCUGUUUUUUAUUUUAAAGGAACAGGCUCCAAAACAGCAUUGUUUUGGCUUGCUCUUUUUAAAAUAAAAAGGGCUAAAACGAAAUCAUUUUGACCCAUUUUUAAAAAGGUCUAAAACGACGUCGUUUUGGUCCCAAAAAAUCAAAAAAAAAAAAAAAUUAAGGUUUCUCUCUGCCCUUUGCAACCUGACACCGGAGAAGAAGAAAAAAAAAAAAAAAAAAAGGAGAAGGAGAAGGUAGGGGAUCAAGGCACACCUGUGGACCGCAUCACGCCUUGCACGCCUAAGCGGCGCCUUCAUGAAGGGGUGUCGCCUACCUUCAGGCAAGGCGUCGAAGGAUGGCGUCAUGCCGCCUGGAGCCUAGGCACGCCUUUCACAACUAUGUUCCCUACAAAUAACAAUCACCUACUUCUAAAGAGAUUGUCUUUCCAUAGCGAACCUUCAACACCAUUUGUCCAAAAGAGCUUGUUAAUGAUGGAUAGAUUUCUAACACCCAACACUAUUUUCUUUCUCAUGCAAACCAUCAACCAAUUCACCAAAUGUGGUUUUCUCACGAUAAACUCUCCCACCAAAAGAGAUCACUUUGGAUCCUUUUUAGCUUUAACCUCACCAUUUUUAAGAUGACAAAUAAAGACAUGAAGUAAAUUCAAGUGUUGGACAGAGUAUUCUUUAUUAGAGCUAUUCUUCCUCUUUUUGAUAGGGUAUUGCUUCUUCCACAUAGAUAGUUGCUUCUAAAAUUUUUCGUCUAUCACAUCCCAAACCCAUGACACACUGAAUGGACCUACCUACAUUGUAGCACCCUAGGUAGUUCCUCCAAGUUAGCAACUAUCCUAACAAGGAUCAACUCACCUUUUUUCAGAUUCAUUUUUAACUUAAGAUUGCCCUAAAUUACGUGAACGUUUAGUUCAAAUGUUCCAUAUGCUCCUUAGUAGCAUCGUAGAGAAUAAGAGUGUCAUUAGCAAAUAACAUAUGGGAUACUUUCAAUCCCUCAUCUCCUCUUCCACUAACUAAGAACCCUUCUAUGAAACCCCCUUCCUUAACUUUUUUCAGAAUGUGAGAGAGGGACUCCAUGGCCAUGAUAAAGCAAUAUGGGAACAAAGUGUCACUGUGUCUCAAGCCUCUUAAACUUAGGAAAAAGCAUGUUAGAGUCUCAUUAACCAAUAUGGACAAGUGAGUCAUAGAGUUACACCACUUAAUCCAUCUCAUCCAUCUAGGACCAAUUCUUUUUUUUUCCAAGAUCACUAACAAAAAGCCCUAAGUUGGCAUGAUCAUAUGCCUUCUAAAUGUCUAAUUUACAUGUGACCCCAUUGACGGUGUUUUUCAACCUUAAGUUGAUGACUUCAUUAGUUAUGGGGACCACAUCCAAAAUUUGUCUCCCCUCCACAAACGCAUACUAAAAGUCCAAAAUCAUUUUUUUCACCACCGCCAAAUUGACUGGCCGAAAUCUUACAAAUCUUCUGCACCCCACUUUGUUUAGACAAAGACUAUCAAAAUGGCCUCUUAGUUCAUAGAAAUUUGCAAAAGAAGAAAGGGAAAAACACAAACAAACAAAACUUAUCAACUCACCUCACUUUUCACAAAAUCCCAACAAAACUACCAAGGUUAUGGAGAAGUUUUUCAGCCUAGGGGCUUUAUCCCCACAUAAAUUGAAAAAGGCUAAUAAAACCUUCUCCUCAAAACAGUGUCUCCAAGGAUCCUAAUUCUCUCUACACAAAGUUUCCAAACCCUUCCACCAGGGCUCAUAAGAUCCAACUCUAAAGAAUGGAUAAAGGGCUCUCUAGUUACAAAAGAGGCCCACAUCUGCUACAAAUCAUCCACUGGGCUAGCUCCAUUUAAAAUAUUAAGGCCACUAUUUUUUGGCUUAAUGGCUCUCACUACCCAGACUUGCACAAAGCCUACCCUAUUAUCUUAGGCCUUAAUUGGCAAAAUAAGGCCUUUUUGGCCUUCUUCACUUUUCUCGACCACCUCCUCAUUCUUAAGCCCAAUACAACAGCAUUUUGUCUUGCCACUCCAUACUCAACCUUUUUGCUUUUGUCCUAUUACACAUGAAUCGAACCCUCAACCACCCCCAUUUCUCAUCCCAUCCCAACCCAUUACUACUUGAGCUAGGCUUCAACGGCACAUCAUUGACUACUUUCCCCACAAAUGUAGAAUAGAAAGCUUUCUUAGAUCUCCUAGAUUAAAACAAGUUUUUCAAGUCCAUUUAGCAAUAGACUAGCUCGUCUGACUAUUUUCCUCACAAAGGACACAAAUACAAAAUAGAAAGCAUUCUUUCUUGGGUCUCCUAGGAAACAAGUUUUUCAAUUCCAUAUAGCAAUGGAUUAGAUGGUUUCAAAUGCUCCUCAUUCAUAUCACUACAGUUUUUUUUUUUUUUUUUUUUUAAUACAUACGGACAACUUAUUUUUUGUAAGAAGUUUCUUAAGUUGUGUUUGGUUCCUUCUAUUGGGCAUUCACCAACGUAGCUUUUAUUCUUAGAUAGUCACUAAGGUAUGUUUCAUUGGUGACCAUUGCCAUAACAAAGAUUUCAAAAAAUAUGAAGUACACAAGAUAUGCAAACAGGUACCUAUUCAACAAGAAUAACCAAACAAACUCAAUCUAACCAGGAGCUUGGUUUGAGCAAACCUCAAACCACAGAUAGGGUAGGGGUAGGGCUGUCAGCAGCCUAUGCAACUCCUAGUGAUGGGCUUAGACUGGCCUCUAAACCAUCCAUCCUGUUUAAGGAAUUGCUCUAAGCAGAGCACCACAAACACAAUAAGCGGGAAAGGUUUGUUUAAGCUACAUCCAAAAUUGCACUUGGUGAUGUGAUUAAAUUCACUAAUGUUAUAUAAGUCAAUCAAAAGACAACUUAUAUAAGGUAAACCAAAUGUGAAAGCCCCCAUAAGAAAGCAAACCUUGUAUCUCCGGUAGCGUGCCUCAUUAUUUCCCAGAAAUCGCUUAACAAAUGAAUCAGUCAGAAAACCAGCAAGACCAUCCAACAACCACUCUGC
rnacentral:lncRNA from 1 species